rnacentral:rRNA from 1 species
UACGAAGGGGACUAGCGUUGUUCGGAAUCAUUGGGCGUAAAGCGCACGUAGGCGGAUUCGUAAGUCAGGGGUGAAAUCCCGGGGCUCAACCUCGGAACUGCCUUUGAUACUGCGGGUCUUGAGUCCGAUAGAGGUGGGUGGAAUUCCUAGUAUAGAGGUGAAAUUCGUAGAUAUGACAUAGAACACCAAUUGCGAAGGCAGCUCACUACGCGAAUAUUGACACUGAGGCACGAAAGCGUGGGGAUCAAACAGG